UCCCAGACUCCUACGGGAGGCAGCAGUGAGGAAUAUUGGUCAAUGGGCGGAAGCCUGAACCAGCCAAGUCGCGUGAGGGAAUAAGGCCCUACGGGUCGUAAACCUCUUUUGCCGGGGAGCAAGGGCGGGGACGUGUCCCGGCCCGGAGAGUACCCGGAGAAAAAGCAUCGGCUAACUCCGUGCCAGCAGCCGCGGUAAUACGGAGGAUGCGAGCGUUAUCCGGAUUUAUUGGUUUUAAAGGGAGCGUAGACGGCGGCGCAAGUCUGGAGCGAAAGCCCGGGGCCCAACCCCGGGACUGCUCUGGAAACUGCGGCGCUGGAGUACGGGAGGGGCAGGCGGAAUUCCUGGUGUAGCGGUGAAAUGCGUAGAUAUCAGGAGGAACACCGGCGGCGAAGGCGGCCUGCUGGACCGUGACUGACGUUGAGGCUCGAGAGCGUGGGGAGCAAACAGGAUUAGAUACCCGCGUAU
rnacentral:rRNA from 1 species